rnacentral:lncRNA from 1 species
GUUUGUGUGCUUGGAGGUUACUAUUGCAUCAAAUGCUUUCCCGCAUGACACCAUCCCACUACCAACUGCUCCCAUUAGCCUUCCAACUCACCUCCGUUAUCUGCAAGACUAUCUGCCCACUUCGGCAGUCACACAUCUGCUAGCUGAUCUCCUGAAAAUGCAGUUUGACCACGUUCAUUCCAAAACUACAGGACAUCCACCACGUGCCAGGCCUUCAGACGCAGACUGGGAGUUACAGCAUCAGCUCCUAUGGUUCUCAAGCCUUUGGACCCAGACUAAACUACACCAUUGGCUUUCCUGAGUCUCC